rnacentral:rRNA from 1 species
CAACGUGAGAGUUUGAUCCUGGCUCAGAGCGAACGCUGGCGGCAGGCUUAACACAUGCAAGUCGAGCGGGCCCUUCGGGGUCAGCGGCGGACGGGUGAGUAACGCGUGGGAACGUGCCUUCUGGUUCGGAAUAACCCUGGGAAACUAGGGCUAAUACCGGAUACGCCCUGUUGGGGAAAGGU